GACUAACGCUGGCGGCGUGCCUAACACAUGCAAGUCGAGCGGGGUAGCAAUACCCAGCGGCAGACGGGUGAGUAACGCGUGGUCAACCUUCCGAUGAGUGGGGGAUAACUAGCCGAAAGGUUAGCUAAUACCGCAUACGAUCUUCAAGCGGCAUCGCAUGAAGAUGAAAGGAGCAAUUCGCUCAUCGACGGGACCGCGUCCCAUUAGCUAGAUGGUGGGGUAAUGGCCUACCAUGGCGACGAUGGGUAGCUGGUUUGAGAGAGCGACCAGCCACACU
rnacentral:rRNA from 1 species